rnacentral:rRNA from 1 species
UACGUAGGGUGCGAGCGUUGUCCGGAAUUAUUGGGCGUAAAGAGCUUGUAGGCGGUUUGUCGCGUCUGCUGUGAAAUUCCAGGGCUUAACCCUGGGCUUGCAGUGGGUACGGGCAGACUAGAGUGUGGUAGGGGAGACUGGAAUUCCUGGUGUAGCGGUGAAAUGCGCAGAUAUCAGGAGGAACACCGAUGGCGAAGGCAGGUCUCUGGGCCACUACUGACGCUGAGAAGCGAAAGCGUGGGGGAGCGAACAGG